UGGCGGGAGCUCUUAUAAAUUAUGGUUACAUCUCAGUCAGGGUAUUCAUACGACUCAUUGCUUACAUGAUUUUAUUAAAAGGAAUUACGAAGGUUUACUGAUUUUUAUUUUAAAUCAUCAAAACCAGUGUAUAAAUCAGAAAGUAACAUGUAAGGUGUCACAAGUUGAAGCGCUCUUUCAUCUCCAAGUCCCAAUUAAGAACUCUGAGCUGAUAUAAAAAAAGCCUUGGUCC
rnacentral:lncRNA from 1 species